CCUGUACCAGUUAAUUAGUGAUGGAGUGACGAAGAAGGAUAGUAUAUCCCGGGUGCUGGAUGUCCCGGGCUAAGCACAAAGAUGGCAAUGUUGGCAAAUCCGCAUUGUAUUAACAUUGAAGUGUGAAAAUAGGGGAGUGAACGGUUCGCCUAGUAACGAAGUAUAUGACUCCAUGCUUCCAAGAAAAGCUUCUAACUUAAUAAUUAACUGCCUGUACCUAGAACGAACACACGUGGUCAAGGAGAAAAUCCUAAGGCAAGCGAGAUAACUGUAGCUAAGGAACUCUGCAAAAUAACUCCGUAACUUCGGAAGAAGGAGUGCUUAUCUAUGAUAAGCCGCAGUGAAGAGGGAGGGGCAACUGUUUAACAAAAACACAGCUCUCUGCUAAGUCGCAAGACGAUGUAUAGGGGGUGACACCUGCCCAGUGCCGGAAGGUUAAAAGGAGAAGUCAG
rnacentral:rRNA from 2 species